UACGUAGGGGCCAAGCGUUGUCCGGAUUUAUUGGGCGUAAAGAGCUCGUAGGCGGUCUGUCGCGUCGGAUGUGAAAGCCCGGGGCUUAACCCCGGGUCUGCAUUCGAUACGGGCAGACUAGAGUGUGGUAGGGGAGAUCGGAAUUCUUGGUGUAGCGGUGAAAUGCGUAGAUAUCAAGAGGAACACCUGAGGUGAAGACGGGUUGCUGGGCUGACACUGACGCUGAUGCGCGAAAGCCAGGGGAGCAAACGGG
rnacentral:rRNA from 1 species